rnacentral:rRNA from 2 species
CAACAACGGAUCUCUUGGCUCUCGCAUCGAUGAAGAACGCAGCGAAAUGCGAUAAGUAAUGUGAAUUGCAGAAUUCAGUGAAUCAUCGAAUCUUUGAACGCACCUUGCGCUCCUUGGUAUUCCGAGGAGCAUGCCUGUUUGAGUGUCAUUAAAUUCU